rnacentral:sRNA from 1 species
CUGACAGCCCUGGAGACUAAAAUCUCUUCUCCACAGAAUGGCUGCAUCACGGGUAGCAGCAGUGAAGGCUUGUCUGUGCUGCCCCACUCAUAUGCCUUGUGGGAAACACCUUGAAAGGGAAGUGCUGUUUACAAGGCCCCUUCUGCUGAUACUACC